rnacentral:rRNA from 1 species
CAAAUCCCUAAAAGCCAUCCCAGUUCGGAUCGCAGGCUGCAACCCGCCUGCGUGAAGUUGGAAUCGCUAGUAAUCGCGGAUCAGCAUGCCGCGGUGAAUACGUUCCCGGGCCUUGUACACACCGCCCGUCACACCAUGAGAGUCGGGAACACCCGAAGUCCGUAGUCUAACCGCAAGGGGGACGCGGCCGAAGGUGGGUUCGAUAAUUGGGGUGAAGUCGUAACAAGGUACC